rnacentral:sRNA from 1 species
AAGGACUUAGCGCAGGAAGCGCACUGAAGCAGACAGGGAUACGUGGGACGGUGCCAGGAUGGCGCGCUGAUCAAGGAUGUCAGAAUAGAGUCUGUAAACCCCGCCUCGGCGGGGUUUU